GACGAACGCUGGCGGCGUGCCUAAUACAUGCAAGUCGAACGCACUCUCGUUAGAUUGAAGAAGCUUGCUUCUGAUUGAUAGCAUUUGAGUGAGUGGCGGACGGGUGAGUAACACGUGGGUAACCUGCCCUAAAGUGGGGGAUAACAUUUGGAAACAGAUGCUAAUACCGCAUAAAACCUAGCACCGCAUGGUGCAAGGUUGAAAGAUGGUUUCGGCUAUCACUUUAGGAUGGACCCGCGGUGCAUUAGUUAGUUGGUGAGGUAAAGGCUCACCAAGACCGUGAUGCAUAGCCGACCUGAGAGGGUAAUCGGCCACACUGGGACUGAGACACGGCCCAGACUCCUACGGGAGGCAGCAGUAGGGAAUCUUCCACAAUGGACGAAAGUCUGAUGGAGCAACGCCGCGUGAGUGAAGAAGG
rnacentral:rRNA from 1 species